rnacentral:ncRNA from 1 species
CAGAGUAGACCGGGGUGCGUUGAGUGCCGGGCGGACGGGGAGUUGCCGCUCGGACGAAUGGGGGCUUCCCCCUGCGGUGCCCAAGGUCGCAUCCCGCUGU